AAAGUGCGAUAAGCAAUGCGAAUUGCAGAAUUCCGCGAAUCAUCAGAUCCUUGAACGCAACUGGCGCUAGGAGGCUCCCCUCCUAGCAUGUCUGUUUCAGUGUCUGAAAACAUCACAAACUUAUCUUAAUGUAGUUGACUUCAGAAAGCGUUUAUCAUGCUUUCCUUCGAGGUCUUCUAUUAAAGAUGUACAUGUGGGUCUUUGGACCCCUCAUCGGAUUGGUCAUCGUUCUACGGUGAUUUCGAUAGGGCGUUUACAAUUACCUGUAUACAUGUAGAACCAAUACGGUCUCUUAGUUUUUUAAUUAAAACACUAGCCGUACUCUUUCAACUCUGCAUCUGAAAUCAGACAAGAUCACCCGCUGAACUUAAGC
rnacentral:misc_RNA from 1 species